rnacentral:rRNA from 1 species
UAUGGUCACACCACCGUGAGCAUCCCUGAUUGCAUCUGAUCUUGGAAGCUAAGCAGGGUCAGGCCAGGUUAGUAUUUGGAUGGGAGAAGAGGAUUACUAAGUCCAGCCCACAC